AGACACACACCUAAUAAGAGAUUAAUAUCCAAAAUUUAUUAGGAACUCAACCCUCUAGUAAAACAAAUAGCCCCAAGAAGGAAUGUGCAAAAGGCCUGAACAGCUGGCCCUGUGAAUGUGGCUAACAGAGACAUGAAAAUUAUGGUUGAAACCACUAAUCAUAAUGACUGUGAGGUAUCUCUCCUCACACAGUAAGUGUUAAUAAGGCUGCUGGGGUGUGGGACAUGCUGCUUGGGCAGGCAGAAUGUAGAGAUGCUGUGGGAAAGACCACCUAGAUCCCAAAGCCAACUAGUUGAGUAAGGAGUGUGGCUUUUUGCAUAAAAAAGGACUGGCAUCUUGGAACUGGGUCAGGAGAACAGUCUGAACUUCUGGGCAGGCAGAGAUACAGGCAAAGAGACACAGACAGAUGCAGAAGGGAGACUGAGUGCUGGUCCAGCAUGGCCUUGGUAGGACAGAUUGACAUAGUUCUUGCCCCUGUGACAUGGAUCUCCAAGAGUGUGGAUGGCUGCCACGGGCAUAAGGCUUGUUUGUAUAAUAAUGUACAUAUUUUCACAUUCCUCCAAGGAAUGUCCUCCCUGUUAAUGUUAAUGACUCCAUGAUAAUCUGAGACAGAAUGAGUCUGGGAGGCAAAGGUUUGGCUAAUAUCCCAGCAAAAUGGUAAAUGCUGGGAUCUUCAGGACAGCCCUUCCUUAAGGCUGUGGGAAAGAACUCUGGAAACAUGAGUUAGAAAACAUACAAUUUCUCAACUAUGCAAAAAAUAAGGAUGCACCCGGCGUGGUGGCGCAUGCCUUUAAUUCCAGCACUUGGGGGACAGCCAGGGCUAUACAGAGAAACCCUAUCUCGAACCACCACCACUCCCCAAAAAAGAAUGCAAUAUGAAUAUAUGAGGAGCUUCAUGAAUCUAAGGGAACAGAGGUAGUUGCAUUAAUGAGACAGCUUGUCAGAAAGAUACAAAGGAUCCCAUCAAAGUCCUGCAGUAUCUGGUACACCAAUGUAGGUCAUGAGAUCCAGGUUAAAGACACGAAUUCCAGACACAGUACUCAGAGUACAGAAUCCAGCACGGAGAGAAGACAUCAGCUGGAGUCAGAGAAGCUGGAAUCCCAGACCUCAGAGUGAGUAAUGUGUGCUCAGAGUGGACAGUCCCCAGAGGACAGUUUAGAGAAGCUUAAGUACUGAAAUAAAUGUUAUGUUUUGAAGCAGUAAAAGGGAAAUAAGAUCUGUUUUGUAAGUUUGCAUAGAUGCUGCAAAGGAAAGAAACUGAGCUUAGACAGUCAUAGAAAGAAAUAUUAAAUUUGAAUAUAAGAGUCUUCAAAGGCAAGUG
rnacentral:lncRNA from 1 species